rnacentral:rRNA from 1 species
UGAGGAAUUUUCCGCAAUGGGCGAAAGCCUGAGGGAGCAACGCCGCGUGGAGGACGACGGCCUUCGGGUUGUAAACUCCUUUUGGGGGGGACGAUAGUGACGGUACCCCCCGAAUAAGCCCCGGCUAACUCUGUG